GGUGUUUUUUUUCAUAAUGGAAAAGUAACCAAAACCUGAGAUAAUAUCUGGGAGUAAAAAUAAACACACAACUCUCUGUUAAGGUUGGUUUUCAGCCAAUCAAAACCAGUGACAUCACAGAGGUAUUUCCUGUUGCUGCUGGGAGGGACCUGCUUCCUUCUUUGUGGUUUCAGUUGGUGUUUUAAAGCGUGAAGUUGUCUCUGCAGCAGCAGCAGCAACAUUGAACCCAUCAGGAAAAACAUCAACUGCAUCUCCUUUCCAUUCUCCAUGGCGAUGAUAUAGUAUGAUGAAGACGAAGCGCGCUGUGAACCAGGAACCUGUUUUGCAGUCAAACAUGAAGAUUUCCGUCUAAAAUGGUGAUAAAGCAGAAACGUAAUGACGGCGACACAAACGAGACUGAAUGCAUGACUGCUUCUUUCCAAGAUGAAGUGAUUAACCAUCAAACAUGAUUCAAACAAAGGAUUUAUUUAAACCAGGAAGUGGAUUCCUCUGUAAUCUUGUUCCUGGAGCAAAUGACUGGAAGUACAGAGGAAAAUCUUUUCAAAUCUUCCCAAAAGUUUCCUACUUGAAACAAAUGUGAGAUCAAUGAGGAAAUACCCAAAUUAAAAAUAGUGAGGAAACUUCAAA